rnacentral:rRNA from 1 species
AUUCCUCAACAUGCUGGUUUUGUUUACCCGGCCUUGGUUAAGGAUCUUUGGCUUCCAGGUCAAAGGAUUUGGAAUCAAACUCUCAUUUUCUCGAUUUUUCAGCAACCUUUGGCUUCCAUUAUUGUUCAUACUGAUAUUGUUGAUGACGAAAUCCCAGAUUUGUUGUGUUGGGAUCUUACUCCAAGUGGUAUUUGUUCCUCCAAAUCUGUUUACAAAUUGUGUUUACAAGAUAUUCAUGCUAAUCCUAGACAUGCCCCUACUGUUGUACCUUUGGAUUUGAAAAAUCUGCUUAAAAUAUUUUGGAAACAAAAGAAUAUGCUUCCUAGGGUGCAAACUUUUGCAUGGAGACUUUUAAGAAAAGCUUUGCCUACGGGUAUGCGAGCUGGUCGUUUCUCGAUUCAUAUUUCUCAAAUGUGUUGUCGAUGUGGUCAAUCGGAGGAUGAGUUUCAUCUAUUUUUCCUUUGUCAUUUUGCUCGUGCGGCCUGGUUUUCUUCUCCCUGGUUUCUCAAAGCUGAUGUUUUAACCCAAGGCCAUACUACACUGCAUUCAGUGCUUAUUGCUUUCAUUCAAAGGAAUCACCCACAUGGCUCCAUCCCGAAUAUCCUAAAUUUUCUGUGGAGUCUUUGGAAAGCAAGAAAUUAUUUUCUUUUUGAUAGAAACAAAGCUCUUCCUUAUCAAGUUAGCAUUGCGGCUGGUGCUUUAAAUUUGGAGCCUCAUGAUGUUCUUUCUGGUCUUUCUAUCAAGAAUCAACAGGUUCAACACAUUCCUGCUAGCAAUCAGCUCCCCUUGCCAGGUAAUUCUCUCAGGUCUGAUCUUUUAGUUGUUGGGCCAAAAAUUUACUCUGAUGCAGCUUUCAGAACAAAAAAAGUUCCUGGCCUUCCUCCAGGUGAUGUGGCUAUAGGUGUUGGUAUCUAUAUUUCUCUUCCCUCGGACCAGGGAGAAAUUAAUAUUCAAAUUCAGGCCUCCGCUUCCUCUACAUCCACUCCUUUGCAGGCUGAAUCUAUUGCUCUUGCUUCUGCUGCUAAUAUAGCCUCUCGGCUCAAUAUUAUGGAUGCUACUUUUCUAACUGACUGUCUUACUCUUGCUAAAUGUGCUGCUUUGGCCAACACCUUAGAUCCCUCUAUUCCUUGGAAUAUCAGAAAGGAUCUUGCCAUUUUUUUGCAAACAUUCUGCAGCUCUUAA